CUGCUGCCUCCCGUAGGAGUUUGGACCGUGUCUCAGUUCCAAUGUGGGGGACCUUCCUCUCAGAACCCCUACGCAUCGUCGGCUUGGUGGGCCGUUGCCCCACCAACUACCUAAUGCGCCGCAUGCCCAUCCGUGACCGGGGUCGCCCCUUUGGCCGGCAGGGGAUGUCCCCUCCCGGCAUUAUGUUGUAUUAGGCGGGAUUUCUCCCGGUUAUCCAUCUGUCACGGCCAGGUUGCAUACGUGUUACUCACCCGUGCGCCGGUCGCCGGCGG
rnacentral:rRNA from 1 species